AUACUAUCUUCCUGUAGCCCAAGACUACAGGAAGAUAGUAUCUGUUCUUAUCAGCUUAAUUUCUGACAUGUCCCUUAUCUGGGGACCAUAUGUUAAAUUGAUCUUUGGAGCAGGGAGAUGGAAUAGGGGCUUGCUCCGUCCGCUCCACGCAUCGACCCGGUAUUGCACUAUCUCUGGCAACGGUGCACUGGCU